rnacentral:lncRNA from 1 species
AUGCUCCAAUAAGUUUUAUUGCAAUUAAUAUUAGUAAAUUAAAUAAUGCUAGCAAUCAAUACUAAUGCUAACAAAAGGCAUUCAAUUCAGUAUUACGAACGGGAAUGUAUUAAAUGUCUAUUUUGUAUUUUGCAAUAAUUUAGAUAAAAAUAUAUAACCUAUUUUUAUUUUUCUUUAGCUUUUAGGCAUAUAAUUAAUACUCCCUGAUUAGUCUAUCUAGUUUAGCAUGAAUUAGUGCUUUUAGAUUAUGUUUAUUUUUAUUAUGACUUUUUAAUUAGCAAU